rnacentral:rRNA from 1 species
CCUACGGGAGGCAGCAGUGAGGAAUAUUGGUCAAUGGGCGAGAGCCUGAACCAGCCAAGUCGCGUGAAGGAUGACGGCCCUACGGGUUGUAAACUUCUUUUGUCAGGGAGCAAUUGAGUCCACGUGUGGUCUUAGCGAGAGUACCUGAAGAAAAAGCAUCGGCUAAAUCCGUGCCAGCAGCCGCGGUAAUACGGAGGAUGCGAGCGUUAUCCGGAUUUAUUGGGUUUAAAGGGUGCGUAGGCGGAAUAUCAAGUCAGCGGGAAACAUUCGGGGCUCAACCCCGUCGUGCCGUUGAAACUGAUGUUGUUGAGGGGGCGAGAGGUAUGCGGAAUGCGUGGGGUAGCGGUGAAAUGCAUAGAUAUCACGCAGAACUCCGAUGGCGAAGGCAGAAUACCGGCGCCCAACUGACGCUGAAGCACGAAAGCGUGGGUAUCGAACAGGAUUAGAUACCCUAGGAGGC